rnacentral:tRNA from 1 species
GAAAGUUUAGUUAAAAUCAUAACAUUAGUUUGUCAAACUAAAAUAAUUAAUUUAUUAAUAACCUUCA